UCUGGUGGCGAUACGCUUAGGGGAAACACCCGUACACAUCCCGAACACGAUGGUUAAGCCUUAAGCGGCCGAAGAUACUAUGCUGGAGACGGUAUGGAAAAAUAGGUGGCUGCCAGAU
rfam:[Eubacterium] eligens ATCC 27750 chromosome, complete genome.